rnacentral:tRNA from 1 species
GGGGGCGGAUGAGUCCCGGUGGGCUUCGCGGACUUCAAAUCCGUUGGGGGGCAUAAGAAGUGUCUUCGGUGGGUUCGACUCCCAUGCGCUCCCGCCA